rnacentral:rRNA from 1 species
AUAAACGCUGGCGGCGCACAUAAGACAUGCAAGUCGAACGGAAGUCGUUAUAAAACAGAUUGAAGAUUUAUCUGAUUGAAGUUUUAUAACAAUGGCUUUAGUGGCGGACUGGUGAGUAACGCGUAAGCAAUCUACCUAUUAGAGGGGAAUAACAAUGAGAAAUCAUUGCUAAUACCGCAUAUGCCAUAGGAACCACAUGGUUCUAGUGGGAAAGGAGCAAUCCGCUAAUAGAUGAGCUUGCGUCUGAUUAGUUAGUUGGUGGGGUAACGGCCUACCAAGACGACGAUCAGUAGCCGGACUGAGAGGUUGAACGGCCACAUUGGGACUGAGAUACGGCCCAGACUCCUACGGGAGGCAGCAGUCGGGAAUAUUGCGCAAUGGAGGAAACUCUGACGCAGUGACGCCGCGUAUAGGAAGAAGGUUUUCGGAUUGUAAACUAUUGUCGUUAGGGAAGAAAAAGGACAGUACCUAAGGAGGAAGCUCCGGCUAACUACGUGCCAGCAGCCGCGGUAAUACGUAGGGAGCGAGCGUUAUCCGGAUUUAUUGGGUGUAAAGGGUGCGUAGACGGGUAAUCAAGUUAGUUGUGAAAUCCCUCGGCUCAACUGAGGAACUGCAACUAAAACUGGUUGUCUUGAGUGCAGGAGAGGUAAGUGGAAUUCCUAGUGUAGCGGUGAAAUGCGUAGAUAUUAGGAGGAACACCAGUGGCGAAGGCGACUUACUGGACUGUAACUGACGUUGAGGCACGAAAGUGUGGGGAGCAAACAGGAUUAGAUACCCUGGUAGUCCACACCGUAAACGAUGGAUACUAGGUGUAGGGGAUAUUAAGUCCUCUGUGCCGUCGCAAACGCAGUAAGUAUCCCACCUGGGGAGUACGGCCGCAAGGUUGAAACUCAAAGGAAUUGACGGGGGCCCGCACAAGCAGUGGAGUAUGUGGUUUAAUUCGAAGCAACGCGAAGAACCUUACCAGGGCUUGACAUAUGCAGGAAUAUAUAAGAGAUUAUAUAGCUCUUCGGAGUCUGUAUACAGGUGGUGCAUGGUUGUCGUCAGCUCGUGUCGUGAGAUGUUGGGUUAAGUCCCGCAACGAGCGCAACCCCUGUAUCUAGUUGCCAGCACGUAGAGGUGGGAACUCUAGAUAGACUGCCGUAGAUAAUACGGAGGAAGGUGGGGAUGACGUCAAAUCAUCAUGCCCUUUAUGUCCUGGGCUACACACGUACUACAAUGGCUGUAACAGAGGGAAGCAACACAGCGAUGUGAAGCGAAACCCAAAAAGCAGUCACAGUUCGGAUUGAAGGCUGAAAUUCGCCUUCAUGAAGCCGGAAUUGCUAGUAAUGGCAGGUCAGCAUACUGCCGUGAAUACGUUCCCGGGCCUUGUACACACCGCCCGUCACACCAUGAGAGUUGGGGAUACCCGAAGCCUGUGAGCCAACAGUAAUGAGGCAGCAGUCGAAGGUAGAAUCAAUGAUUGGGGUG